GCACUCAGGUUUCUAUGACAUGUCAACUAUAUCUACGAAGUUCAAUGCUAAUCCAUAUAGGCGCUCGAAAAUAACUGAAUUUACAAUAAUUAAUCACAAAUACUUUAUUCCACGAUUUUCUUGAUUUCAUUAGACUUUCACAUUUCUUUCAUUCUAGUUUACUAUUUAAUAUUAUACGAACAUAUAAUUUCGAAUAUUAAAACUUUUAAGAACAUUUUCUUUACACUUCCAUUCCAUGACUAAUUAUGAUCUUUAUUCAUAUUAGUAUUGAUUUCACGAUUUUCACAAUUUAACUACACUUUUGCAUUUCUUCAAUUUAGUCUUUAUUUUUCCACAAUUUAAAGAACAAUUUUAAUUUCAUUUACAAUAAUCAAGAAACUUUAUUUAGUAAAUUCUUAAUUCACAAUACACAUUAUAUUUCGUAUUCUUUACAUCUUUUUCACUUAUCAAAUAAUAACACAUAAAACUUUCACGUACUUUUUAGUUUAGUCAUUUAACACGAAAUUCAAUAUUCACUAUCACGUAGCACUAAUCCAUUAGUUCAUCAUAACAUCUUAUUUUACAUGUCUUAACUUAUAUGUUGUUCACUUUUCUACCUAUUUUGACUGCCUAAAAAUCAUAAUUUUCACCAUCUAAGACAAUAACUUAAACAUUGUUAUAGAUUAUGCUUGUGGAAGUCAUGAUUAAUUUUAUUUUCACAAACUCACUUUGUAAGAAUCUCUAGCUCUUGAUACCAAUUUGUUGGAGAGAUUUUGGAAAUGAUGAAGGGAAAAGACAGCACUAAUCCAUUAGUUCAUCAUAACAUCUUAUUUUACAUGUCUAACUUAUAUGUUGUUCACUUUUCUACCUAUUUUGACUGCCUAAAAAUCAUAAUUUUCACCAUCUAAGACAAUAACUUAAACAUUGUUAUAGAUUAUGCUUGUGGAAGUCAUGAUUAAUUUUAUUUUCACAAACUCACUUUGUAAGAAUCUCUAGCUCUUGAUACCAAUUUGUUGGAGAGAUUUUGGAAAUGAUGAAGGGAAAAGACACUCAACAUGGAAUGAAUACUUUAUUCAUAUCAUAUUCUCUUUCUCUUACUUUCUAACAAGGGCUUCGUCGCUUACAACCUUUAUAUAAUUGUUGUAUGUGACUAUUAGUUUCAAUACAUACAUCUAAUAUAAUUAAUGUAUACCUAGUACAUACAUGCAUCUUAGAUAAAUACAUUCAUGCAUGUUAGUUAAAUGCCUAUUAGAUUCCCUAGAUUCAUCCUUUCUAAACACAUUGAUUACAUGCACACAGUCAUGACAUCACAAUAUCCAACAUCACUACUGACAAGAAAAAUAAGACAGAUGAGAAGGUGAAUGAUCAUGUCUUAC
rnacentral:lncRNA from 1 species